rnacentral:rRNA from 1 species
GAUGAACGCUGGCGGCGCGCCUAAUACAUGCAAGUCGAGCGAACGGACGAGAAGCUUGCUUUUCUGAUGUUAGCGGCGGACGGGUGAGUAACACGUGGAUAACCUACCUAUAAGACUGGGAUAACUUCGGGAAACCGGAGCUAAUACCGGAUAAUAUUUUGAACCGCAUGGUUCAAAAGUGAAAGACGGUCUUGCUGUCACUUAUAGAUGGAUCCGCGCUGCAUUAGCUAGUUGGUAAGGUAACGGCUUACCAAGGCAACGAUGCAUAGCCGACCUGAGAGGGUGAUCGGCCACACUGGAACUGAGACACGGUCCAGACUCCUACGGGAGGCAGCAGUAGGGAAUCUUCCGCAAUGGGCGAAAGCCUGACGGAGCAACGCCGCGUGAGUGAUGAAGGUCUUCGGAUCGUAAAACUCUGUUAUUAGGGAAGAACAUAUGUGUAAGUAACUGUGCACAUCUUGACGGUACCGAAUCAGAAAGCCACGGCUAACUACGUGCCAGCAGCCGCGGUAAUACGUAGGUGGCAAGCGUUAUCCGGAAUUAUUGGGCGUAAAGCGCGCGUAGGCGGUUUUUUAAGUCUGAUGUGAAAGCCCACGGCUCAACCGUGGAGGGUCAUUGGAAACUGGAAAACUUGAGUGCAGAAGAGGAAAGUGGAAUUCCAUGUGUAGCGGUGAAAUGCGCAGAGAUGUGGAGGAACACCAGUGGCGAAGGCGACUUUCUGGUCUGUAACUGACGCUGAUGUGCGAAAGCGUGGGGAUCAAACAGGAUUAGAUACCCUGGUAGUCCACGCCGUAAACGAUGAGUGCUAAGUGUUAGGGGGUUUCCGCCCCUUAGUGCUGCAGCUAACGCAUUAAGCACUCCGCCUGGGGAGUACGACCGCAAGGUUGAAACUCAAAGGAAUUGACGGGGGCCCGCACAAGCGGUGGAGCAUGUGGUUUAAUUCGAAGCAACGCGAAGAACCUUACCAAAUCUUGACAUCCUUUGACAACUCUAGAGAUAGAGCCUUCCCCUUCGGGGGACAAAGUGACAGGUGGUGCAUGGUUGUCGUCAGCUCGUGUCGUGAGAUGUUGGGUUAAGUCCCGCAACGAGCGCAACCCUUAAGCUUAGUUGCCAUCAUUAAGUUGGGCACUCUAAGUUGACUGCCGGUGACAAACCGGAGGAAGGUGGGGAUGACGUCAAAUCAUCAUGCCCCUUAUGAUUUGGGCUACACACGUGCUACAAUGGACAAUACAAAGGGCAGCGAAACCGCGAGGUCAAGCAAAUCCCAUAAAGUUGUUCUCAGUUCGGAUUGUAGUCUGCAACUCGACUACAUGAAGCUGGAAUCGCUAGUAAUCGUAGAUCAGCAUGCUACGGUGAAUACGUUCCCGGGUCU